UGGUUGCGAAAAGAGUUUUAAUUUUUUUAAGAGACCGGAGAGAAUUAGCGGUCUCGGGCGACAGGCACAACGGAGAGAGAGAUUAUGUUUGAA
rnacentral:ncRNA from 2 species